GAUGAACGCUGGCGGCGUGCCUCAAACAUGCAAGUCGAGCGAGGCUAUGAGUUACCGCAAGGUAAGGCAUAGCCUAGCGGCGAACGGGUGAGUAACACGUGGGUAACCUACCUGGAAGACAGGGAUAACGAUUCGAAAGGGUCGCUAAUACCUGAUAAUAUCCAUCUGCCGGAUGGCGGAGGGAAGAAAGGGGAAACCCGCUUUCAGAUGGGCCCGCGUCCCAUCAGCUAGUUGGUAAGGUAAAGGCUUACCAAGGCGACGACGGGUAGCCGGUCUGAGAGGAUGUACGGCCACACUGGGACUGAGAUACGGCCCAGACUCCUACGGGAGGCAGCAGUUGGGAAUCUUAGGCAAUGGACGAAAGUCUGACCUAGCGACGCCGCGUGAGGGAAGAAGGCCUUCGGGUUGUAAACCUCUGGUCAUGGGGGAAGAAGGAAGUGACGGUACCCCAAGAGGAAGCCCCUGCUAACUACGUG
rnacentral:rRNA from 1 species